AAAAUAUUUCAAUUAUGUGACCAUUUACAUUAUUUCCCUAUAAUAUAAGGCGUAAUCACAUGGUAAUAAGGAACAAAAGAACAAACAAGCCCAGAUAAUGAUGACUGUUCCAAACAGAAAUAUCGAUAACCUGACUCUGACGUUACAGAAAUGCAUCAACACAGAGUUGACAAACGUCUAUGGUUGUUCUAUGCUACCUGAUGGUAGGCUCGUAUUCUCAAAUCAUUACCCAUAUAUGAUAAGUGUACUAAAAUCGAACGGAUCAAAAGAUUUUGAAAUGGACAAAAUUGGUGACACCUUUGAUGUGGAAUAUAUUGGUGAUGAUUCCAUUGCUGUUACAACUCGCGUAUCAAAAAAUAUCAAUAUAAUUAACAUAAAGAAGAGAAAAGUGGUGAAAACAAUUCAAGUUAAUUCCAACAGUGAUGGAGUAGUGUACAAAGAUGGACAUUUAAUUUAUUGUGCCAAGGAAAAUGGACUUAAAAUGAUUAGUUUGAAUGAUGAAUCUACUUCCAAUGUUACCAAUAACAAAUUAUCAGACUAUGCGUACGUUACAACAUCCGGUGACAAACUGUUCUACACAGACCCUGACAACAACAGUGUAACCUGUUGUGAUUACCAUGGUGAAAUACUGUGGACGUUCUGUAAUGAAAAUGUUCUGCGUCGUCCAUUUGGUAUUUCUGUAGACAAUGAUGAAAACGCGUUUGUAGUGGGAUACCUGUCUAACACCGUUGUCGUCAUAUCUCCUGAUGGACAACGCUUUAGACUUCUUUUAUCUAGUGAAGAUGGACUGCUAUUUCCACAGGUUCUGCAUUAUGACCAAUCCACUAAUACAUUGUUAGUUGCAAAUCAAAGCGAAGACGCUUGGUUGUAUGAAGUUAAGGAUGCUCGCUACUCUUAUUUUUGACUUAUUGUCAGACCUUUGGACUCCUCUAGUUUUUUCCAUGUAGCGCUAAUACAAAUUUUGCCUGCUAACCGCUACUUUUCUUUUCAUAAUUUCAUUGCAAAUAGCUUAAAGAGCCAUUUUUGAAAAUCGCAUAAAAUGCUUGUUAUUUUUCCAUAGUUGUUAAAAGGAACAAGGUGCCAAUGUUAAAUGUAAGAAAACUUUAGAGAGAAUUAUAUCCCGCCAAAUUUUCAAUUUACUAUAUCUCAAAAACACGAACACUAAGCUAUCUUUUGUUUCUUCCUUUAAAGUUCCCUUUUUAAUGAUUUAUCAACUUAAAAGGUCUUUUAAAAAAACUUGUUAUUUGAAACAGAGGAGAGAACAUUCUUAAAAGAUAAAUAGUGAUGUUUGAUAUAUCAUGUAUUUGUUCAAAAUUAUUCUAUAUGUUAUUAAGUACCAUUUAAAUUUGUUUAAGUUAUGACACAAACAAAAAAAAAAGAUAAAAAAAAAAGAUAACUUGGAUGCCUUUGUUUUGUGAUAAUAUUGAAAGAAAUAAAACAUCACUUCAUAAUAAUGUAGACUGAAGGUUAAAAGUUAUAAAAUGAAACUUACCAUUAUAUCAUAUAAUAACCGAACGUUUAUCAAUGCAAAGAAAAACUUAAGUGUUUAAUAUAGAAAUAGGACAUUUACAAUAUUUAUAUGUAAGAGUGUUUACAUUUGUUGGACAUAUUGACAGAUGGCAUACGCAGAGAAAUCAUGUCAUAUCAGAUAACUAGAUGUCGGCAACUGGAAGAAAGGAAUAAAACUAUAAAACAAGCGCUAUAAUAUAUAGGGUUAUUGGACAUACGUGAUUUAGCAAACAACUCUUGAUAAAGUAAUCGAAGAACAGUUCAACAUAAGGCAGCAACAUAUCGACAAAAAUAAACCAAAACAUAGCUCCAUAAGCAUAACAGAAGAUGUGAGAUAUACGUUUAUUAUGUUUAUUAGACAGCAACCUAUCGAAAAAAAUAAAUACAUUUUAAUAUGAAUAAAAGUUGAUGUCGAUUAUACGUUUAUAAGACAACAACGUAUCAACAAAAAAAAAUGUCAGACCCAUCAAUAUGAUUGAAAGAAGAUGCCGUAUAUACGCCGUAUAUAAAACAUCAACCCAUCAACAAAUGUAAUUAAAAGACAGUUCAAUAUGAGUGAUAGAAGAUGUCGAGAAUGCAGACGUAUAUUAGAAAAAUACAACGACACCAGUAUCCGACAUGUGAAAAGAGAUAUGGUUAAAUUUCAGAUGUACAUUAUAAUCAUAACAAUCGUAAAAGUACCCAUCAUUCAAGUUUUUUUAAAAAGCAUUGACCUUUUUGUUAUGACCUUGUUACCAAUUUCAAGUAUAAACAACAGAUUUUACCUGAUUGUAUAUUGUCUCAAAGGCUACGUCACUGUUGAAUUCAAGAAAAGUUAAACCGUUGUAGAUUUUGACACUGAUUUAUUAAUGGUAUUACAUCGUAAUAAGUAUCAAUAUACUAACUGUUCCAUACCUUUCCCGAGCACAUGCCAGCAGUAUUUACUCUUUUCCUUAAAUCUAAAAGAAUUUCGUUAACACGUGUUUCUUUGUAGAAAAAAAAUACGAUCAACUUGAAUCUAAAGCAUAUUCAUCACGUCAAUUCUCCUUAGUGAUAGGAAAGAAAGAAAAAGAACAGUAACAAAGUAUUUAGACGCCCGAAAUCAUUAUUUACCAAACUUCUACAAAUAUAGCUGUUCGAUACAUUAACAGAUGGCAUACCCGAAUCGGAUGAAUGGUUGUCAGGAACGGAAUAAAAAGAAUAAUGCACUUUUGCUAUUGAUAUUAGAAAUAAAACUAUGAGAAUAACAACAAAAUAUUUUACUUGUAUUUAGUAUGAAAAAAUUUGUAAUUGUAAAUUGUAAAUUAGAUUGCUAUAAUAAUAUGUGUGAAACACGCCAAAUAGACAACCCAUCAACAAAAGUAUCCGAAGAAAUAUUCAAUUAGAACGACAGUACAUGUCGGAUCUACGCAUAUAUGACACCAACAUAUCGACAACAGUAACCGAAAGAAACUCAAUAAGAACAACAGAAUAUGUCGGGUUUACGUAAAUAUGACAGCCACCCGUCAUAAACAAUUAUCGAAAGAACGUUUAGUAUGAACAACAGAAGAUGUCGGGUUUACGUAAAUAUGACAGCAACCCGUCGCAAAAAGUUACCGAAAGACAUAUCAGUCGAAGGUUUAAUGCAACAACCACUUAACCGAAAAAUUUGCAGUUUUGAGAUUUAUAGAUUUUAUAAACGUAAUGGUUAUUAACGAAUAUUCUCAUUUUUUUUUAGAGCAAUUGAAUAUACAGUAAAGUUUUAAUUGAUAUGUUCAUCAAUAUAUUAUCAGUUUGAUAAAUGUCUGCCAGCAUGAAAGACUUAAGUCUUAUUACUUUUUAAAUGCAGGUUAAAUACUCUUUAUUAAAUAGUAAAAAAUUGAAAACAACACGUUAAAUAAUUUCAUGCCUCCGAAGCACUUUAGCUUACCCAGAGAACAACAACACAGUAACUUUAGAUAAGGUGUGUUGCAUUCCUAAUAACAAAUAUCGUUUGCAAACUCGUAUGCAAUAACACAGUACCUCGAAAUACUUGCUUAUUGCAUUUGACAUUUUUAUUGAUUUAUCUUGACACCUUAUACCACACCCCCUUCAACAUCAGAUAAUGGGUUACAGCUGUAAAAGAGAAGUGAAUAUCAGCAGGUCAUCAAGCACGUAAAGGCAAUUAAGUGUAUCUGGCAUGACCUCAUAGUAUAUAAUAUAAACAUUAUGAUGGUUUAAUUUUAUAAAUUUUGACUUGGAUGGAGAGUUGUCUCAUUGGCACUCAUACCACAUCUUCUUAUAUCUAUCAACUGAGAAUGAAACAAGUAAUUGUUAUGCUUUUAAUGGUUUUUGAUAUAGAUUUUUUUUAUAUUCAGCUAAUUCAGAAAGGUGUUUGUAAAAUUUGGUUUAUAUAAUGAAUAAUAUAAUUAAUAGAAUUUACUUUGAAUUAUAUACAUGAUAUAAUAACAAUGUUAUUAUUAUAUAUGUCUGUAAUAUGAGUUUUUUAUGUUACAAAACAUUCAAGAAACAUAAUAUUUAUUUUUAAAAAUUUAACCUUUUUUUUCUAGUUUAGAAACAUUACAAAUUUACUAUAAUUUCAAUCAACUAAUUUGCAGUAAUAUCAUGAUUUCGUUGUUUUUGAUUUUUACUGUUUAUAGAUGUGUUUUUUUUAGUUAAGAGAUUAAUAAUCAUGAUUCAAUAACGAGUUCUAUAAUUUACAAAUAAUGUAUUCAGAUAAUAUUUUAAACAUACAAAACUUCAAACAAAUUAAUAUUGUUUUUUUUCAAAACCAAAUGUGUUUCCAUUGUAUAAAAGAUAAUAUAAUUAAAGAUUUCAAAACUUUUGAAAAAAAAAAGAAAUAUCACCUCAUUAUAGAUUAACAGCAAACGAAAACUUAAAGACAUUUAUAUAAAAUGUAAUACGUUUACAAAAACACCACUUUAAAUAUAUGCACGACUUAGAAAUAUUUGGUCCUUUCCGUCUAGGUCCUUUUUUUUUUGUCAUAAUCAUAUAGUUCCUAACAUUCUAUUUAUUUAAAAGCUUUCAAAAAAGUUUAGCGCUUCGAACACACAAAAUAUCUUUAAUGUUUAUUUCAUUCGCAUUAGAUAAAUCUUAAGACAAAAACAAAAAUUCUGCCAUGGUAUAUUAUAGUGUGAUAAAUAGUGCAGUAUGUAAGUUUUAAAGUCUAUUCUCAUGGAUAAUCAUAUAAUAUAAACAGAUAAGAAUCCAGAGAACUUGGUUAACUUUUGGGGAAAAGAAAUAUACUGAAAGGAAAAUCUAAAUCAAUAUUAUUUUCUUUCAUGCGAGCAAAAUGAUAUUAUUGAUUUCGAAAAACCAAUAAACAUGUUAGAUUAUGAUUUCAAUCUUAUUUGGGGUUACUGUAUAUUCUUUUGUGAAACACAGCUGAAACACACGAUUUUCUUUAGGAACUUUGAUACAUUUUAUUGCUUUUCUAUGUCUUUAAGAUUCAAUGAAUAUUAAUUACCACAAUGAAUUCAUCAAUCCAAGGUCUUUGUGUAGAUAGUCUGAUUCAAUUAUAUUAUUCGUUAUUAAGGCCAAACAAGAAUUUUAAAUACAAUGACAUAUCUUUCGUUUCAGAAAUGUUGUAACCAUCUCUUAUUGGUUUAGGAUAUUGCGAAUUGAAUAAUAUAAUAUUUGACAAAAAAUAAAUUAUAAAAGUUUUCAAAUAUGUGUAUGUACUUCUGUAUAGCUAAAUCCACUUUCCAUAAUUCCUGUAUGUACUGUAUUGCUUUACAUUAUCUUUUUAUUUUCUUAACAAUGUUUUAUAACAUUAUGUGUAUGAAUAUAAUUGUCAAAUUAAUAUAUCAUUCAAAGUAAAUAAAACUCAUUCAUUUAUA